GUAGUCCUAGCCGUAAACGUUGGGUGCUAGGUGUGGGCGGUCAUCAACCCCGUCCGUGCCGAAGCUAACGCAUUAAGCACCCCGCCUGGGGAGUACGGCCGCAAGGCUAAAACUCAAAGGAAUUGACGGGGCCCCGCACAAGCGGCGGAGCAUGUUGCUUAAUUCGAUGCGACGCGAAGAACCUUACCUGGGCUUGACAUGCAGGGUGAAACCCGUGAAAGCGGGCGCUCUUCGGAGCCUGCACAGGUGGUGCAUGGCUGUCGUCAGCUCGUGCCGUGAGGUGUUGCCUUAAG
rnacentral:rRNA from 1 species